GAUGAACGCUGGCGGCGUGCUUAACACAUGCAAGUCGAACGGAAAGGCUCCUGCUUGCAGGGGUACUCGAGUGGCGAACGGGUGAGUAACACGUGGGUGAUCUGCCCUGCACUUCGGGAUAAGCCUGGGAAACUGGGUCUAAUACCGGAUAGGACGAUGGUUUGGAUGCCAUUGUGGAAAGUUUUUUCGGUGUGGGAUGAGCUCGCGGCCUAUCAGCUUGUUGGUGGGGUAAUGGCCUACCAAGGCGUCGACGGGUAGCCGGCCUGAGAGGGUGUACGGCCACAUUGGGACUGAGAUACGGCCCAGACUCCUACGUGAGGCAGCAGUGGGGAAUAUUGCACAAUGGGCGCAAGCCUGAUGCAGCGACGCCGCGUGGGGGAUGACGGCCUUCGGGUUGUAAACUCCUUUCGCUAGAGACGAAGCGCAAGUGACGGUACCUGGAGAAGAAGCACCGGCUAACUACGUG
rnacentral:rRNA from 1 species